rnacentral:rRNA from 1 species
GACGAACGCUGGCGGCGUGCUUAACACAUGCAAGUCGAGCGGUAAGGCCCUUUCGGGGGUACACGAGCGGCGAACGGGUGAGUAACACGUGGGUGACCUGCCCUCAGCUCUGGGAUAAGCCCGGGAAACUGGGUCUAAUACUGGAUAUGACUCCAUGACGCAUGUUGUGGGGUGGAAAGCCUUGUGCGGCUGAGGAUGGGCCCGCGGCCUAUCAGCUUGUUGGUGGGGUGAUGGCCUACCAAGGCGACGACGGGUAGCCGGCCUGAGAGGGCGACCGGCCACACUGGGACUGAGACACGGCCCAGACUCCUACGGGAGGCAGCAGUGGGGAAUCUUGCGCAAUGGGCGAAAGCCUGACGCAGCGACGCCGCGUGAGGGAUGACGGCCUGGUGU